CACAGAGAAAGUUUGAGGAGGAGCAUCUGAUAUGACGGAGAGAACGCUGCCCUUCCUCCCCAAGGGUAAAUAACGACUAACUGUAGAUUCGCGCUCAGUAACGGACGAACCACGAGCAGCCAUGGAACAGCUUGGUCCAUUAGGGUAUGCUGGCGCUGCAGUGCUUCAGGUUAUAUUCGGCAUCCCUCUUGCUGCUCUACAAUUAAUAUUCGGGCCUUUAAACAGCGUCACCGCAUGCAAAGGGUUCUCAGCCGGGCUCAUACCCUUUACAAUGCGGCUGUUAAGAGGCGAUGACGUCAAAUGGUAUUUCGAUUCAUGCUGAAGCUGAAGGAAGGGAAAAAAUGGCGCCACGUGCUCAUCAAAUUGAAGUAUAAAUAUUGCUUAUUCCAGUUCCGUGUUUUUGUAUUUUUAUUUAUUUAUGUAUGGGUGUAUUGAUUCAUUAAUUUAUUAACUAGUUUGCAUGUCUGCUUGUUUAUAUGUCACUGGAAUUUGAAUAGUGUGUGUAUAUCUUUCUGCGUAUCCUAAAAAAUCAAACAUCUAUUGUAAUGUACCAAUAGAUAUGAUGAGUAAAUAUUUUCAAAAUUGUAGGGUUAUAAUCAGAAACUGCAGUCAAUUCUUAUAUAAGAAGUCCAUAGAUAAUUUUGUAUAUGUAAACCUUUGCAUUGUGAAUGAUGCAAGCAAAAUAUGUACUAUAUAUGUGUUUAUGGAUGCGUUAUUUGCUUUGUAUUUCAGUCUAUGUUAAUUUUUAAAUAUAGCCUGCCUGAGGCUCUUGUUGACCUCUGUCAAAAGUUUUA